GGCAGCAGUAAAGAAUCUUCCGCAAUGGGCGAAAGCCUGACGGAGCAACACUGCGUGGUGGAUGAAGGCUUUCGGGUCGUAAACACCUUUUCUGGGGGAAGAAGUUCUGACGGUACCCCAGGAAUAAGCGACGGCUAAUUACGUGCCAGCAGCCGCGGUAAUACGUAAGUCGCAAGCGUUAUCCGGAAUUAUUGGGCGUAAAGUGUCGGUAGGCGGUUUUGUUAGUCUGUGGUUAAAUCCCAGGGCUCAACCCUGGAGGGUCAUUGGAAACUGGAGAACUUGAGUACAGAAGAGGAAAGCGGAAUUCCACGUGUAGCGGUGAAAUGCGUAGAGAUGUGGAGGAACACCAGUGGCGAAGGCGGCUUUCUGGUCUGUAACUGACGCUGAGGCGCGAAAGCGUGGGGAGCAAACAGGAUUAGAUACCCUGGUAGUCCACGCCGUAAACGAUGAGUGCUAAGUGUUAGGGGGUUUCCGCCCCUUAGUGCUGCAGCUAACGCAUUAAGCACUCCGCCUGGGGAGUACGACCGCAAGGUUGAAACUCAAAUGAAUUGACGG
rnacentral:rRNA from 1 species